CCUACGGGCGGCUGCAGUGGGGAAUAUUGCACAAUGGGCGAAAGCCUGAUGCAGCAACGCCGCGUGAGCGAUGAAGGCCUUCGGGUCGUAAAGCUCUGUCCUAUGGGAAGAUAAUGACGGUACCAUAGGAGGAAGCCCCGGCUAACUACGUGCCAGCAGCCGCGGUAAUACGUAGGGGGCAAGCGUUAUCCGGAAUUACUGGGCGUAAAGGGUGCGUAGGCGGUUUAUCAAGUCAGGGGUGAAAGGCUACGGCUCAACCGUAGUGAGCCUCUGAAACUGGUGAACUUGAGUGUAGGAGAGGAAAGUGGAAUUCCCAGUGUAGCGGUGAAAUGCGUAGAUAUUGGGAGGAACACCAGUGGCGAAGGCGACUUUCUGGACUACAACUGACGCUGAGGCACGAAAGCGUGGGGAGCAAACAGGAUUAGAUACCCCAGUAGUC
rnacentral:rRNA from 1 species